AACGAACGCUGGCGGCAUGCCUAACACAUGCAAGUCGAACGAAGGCUUCGGCCUUAGUGGCGCACGGGUGCGUAACGCGUGGGAAUCUGCCCUUGGGUUCGGAAUAACUCAGAGAAAUUUGAGCUAAUACCGGAUGAUGACGUAAGUCCAAAGAUUUAUCGCCCAAGGAUGAGCCCGCGUAAGAUUAGCUAGUUGGUGGGGUAAAGGCCUACCAAGGCGACGAUCUUUAGCUGGUCUGAGAGGAUGAUCAGCCACACUGGGACUGAGACACGGCCCAGACUCCUACGGGAGGCAGCAGUGGGGAAUAUUGGACAAUGGGCGAAAGCCUGAUCCAGCAAUACCGCGUGAGUGAUGAAGGCCUUAGGGUUGUAAAGCUCUUUUAUCAGGGAUGAUAAUGACAGUACCUGGAGAAUAAGCUCCGGCUAACUCCGUG
rnacentral:rRNA from 1 species